rnacentral:rRNA from 1 species
UACGUAGGGCGCGAGCGUUAUCCGGAAUUAUUGGGCGUAAAGAGCUCGUAGGCGGUUUGUCACGUCUGCUGUGAAAACUGGAGGCUCAACCUCCAGCCUGCAGUGGGUACGGGCAGACUAGAGUGCGGUAGGGGAGAUUGGAAUUCCUGGUGUAGCGGUGGAAUGCGGAGAUAUCAGGAGGAACACCGGUGGCGAAGGCGGGUCUCUGGGCCGAUACUGACGCUGAGGAGCGAAAGCGUGGGGAGCGAACAGG